rnacentral:rRNA from 1 species
CAGCAGCCGCGGUAAUACGUAGGGUGCAAGCGUUGUCCGGAAUUAUUGGGCGUAAAGAGCUCGCUAGGCGGUCUGUUACGUCGGCUGUUGAAAACCUGGGGCUCAACUCCGGGCCUGCAGCCGAUACGGGCAGACUAGAGUUCGGCAGGGGAGACUGGAAUUCCUGGUGUAGCGGUGAAAUGCGCAGAUAUCAGGAGGAACACCGGUGGCGAAGGCGGGUCUCUGGGCCGAAACUGACGCUGAGGAGCGAAAGCGUGGGGAGCAAACAGGAUUAGAUACCCUGGUAGUCCACGCCGUAAACGUUGGGCGCUAGGUGUGGGCCUCAUUCCACGAGGUCCGUGCCGCAGCUAACGCAUUAAGCGCCCCGCCUGGGGAGUACGGCCGCAAGGCUAAAACUCAAAGAAAUUGACGG